AACGGAAUGUACCCGAGGAUGAUAUAGCGGACUUCCAAAGCCGAGUAUGAGGGUCGCACUUGCACAAACAACAAGAUGGCUGCCGCCAAAGCUCCCGUCCCCCUAAAAUCUCUUCGACGCCAGGCUGCCCUGCGAACGAAAGGGCUGUCUUGCCGAGGAGCGUGUACCUCGUCAAUUCUUUCCAAAUAUCUGGCCGUUUGAAAUAUUAGUCAGACCAAAUUGAAGAAGUAAUAUAUGCCCACGACCCCUCCUAUCGAUGCACGUAAUCGUCAAAAACAAGAAUCGGAGCACGAGCGAGCAUUAAGCUUCCAAUUAUGGACUCAUGAGAGUGGAGGGAAAGAUAACCUUUUGAAGAUUCUUUUCUUUCAUUUGAUCUCUAUCCGUCAUUUAUCGAGAUGAACAGAAACAACGUAUAAAUAGAAGAAGAUACAGAUGCCAAUGGACAUCUACAAUUAAGUGCCUCAGCCAAUAAGACCUCUUGUGUGCGCUUUCGCAGACACAAAAGAAGGAUCGAACAAAAAGACAGAUCGACAGAUUUCUUCGACUAUAGCUUCCAAAAAAAUCUUGGCAACUCCUGCGCCUUUCAUUACUGCUACCUUUAAAUCCAAGCAUCUUUAUUAGGAAGACACAAAAGACACUAAAUUUACAAUAGGUAAGAAGAGUAUUCGUACUUUAUUUACAAUUAAAGAAUUAUUU